rnacentral:rRNA from 1 species
GACGAACGCUGGCGGCGUGCUUAACACAUGCAAGUCGAACGGAAAGGCCCUUCCUUUGUGGGGUGCUCGAGUGGCGAACGGGUGAGUAACACGUGAGUAACCUGCCCUUUACUUUGGGAUAACUUCAGGAAACUGCGGCUAAUACCGGAUAUGAGCUCCUGCUGCAUGGUUGGGGUUGGAAAGUUUCGGCGGUUGGGGAUGGUCUCGCGGCUUGUGAGCUUGUUGGUGGGGUAGUGGCUGACUAAGGCUUUGACGGGUAGCCGGCCUGAGAGGGUGACCGGUGACAUUGGGACUGGGAUACGGCGCGGAGUAGUAGGGGAGGAAACAGUGGGGUAGAUGGCAGAAUGGGGGGGAGACGGAGGGAGGAACGCGGAGUGCGGGAGGAUGGGCUUCGGGUUGUAAAGCGAUUAAGGCAGAGAUGUAGCGGGAGUGACGGUAAUGGGUAAAGAAGCACCGGCUAACUACGUG